AUAUAUCGAUCACUGCUCUCCUUAACCAGAAUAUAUCGGUUGUUAUUUGCGUCCCCUUCCACGGUUCCACUGCCAACGACGGCCGUCGGCCAUCUUUCCCGCCGUCACUCGUCGGCCUUCUGGACUCAUUCGCCUCUUUCGUCCCCGCCUUGGCGAGUAGCUGGAAAGCAACCAUUUGAUCGAUUUGGUAAAUAAAGGUUGAAAAUCGAUCAGAAUCAGUUGGAAAGGAAAGAAAUGUUGGACCUCAACGUGGAGUCUUUGGGGGAGCCGACGGCUAUCGAAGAGAGGGCAUUUGCCGAAGUUACCGAUGGCAGUACGCUGGUGGUUUCCUCGGAGACGUCCGAAUCAUCCGUCCUUAACGCUGAGGCUUCCGCCAAUGCUCCGGCCGACGAAGACUCGUGCUCUAUCGUGCCGGUUGCGGUCACUGCCUUCAGAUUUGGUAUCUUGAAGAGCUCCGAAGGCAGGAAUGAUGUGGAGAUGGAGGAGGAUAGAAACGAAUUUUCGAAGGAGUCACGCAUAGUCACCAAGCUGCUGUUUCCUCCGGAGUCGGCAGUAGUUGUGGCGCCUUCCUUGCCGUCAUCAUCAAGAUGGCAGUGGAUGGAUCAUACACAAGCUGGAGUUUGUCAACCGCGUCCAUGGCAGCAACAUCAACGGACGCAGACACAGACACAGACACAGACACAGACACAGACACAGGCACAGCCACAGCCACAGCCACAGUCACAGCCACAGCCACAGUCAGAUCAACAGCAAGCGAAGAAGAGUAGGAGAGGGCCUAGAUCAAGAAGCUCUCAGUACAGGGGCGUCACGUUCUACCGGAGGACAGGAAGAUGGGAAUCUCAUAUCUGGGAUUGUGGAAAGCAGGUAUAUUUGGGUGGUUUUGACACUGCUCACGCCGCUGCAAGAGCAUAUGAUCGAGCUGCCAUCAAAUUCAGAGGACUUGACGCUGAUAUUAAUUUUACUCUCAGCGACUACGAGGAGGAUAUGAAACAAAUGAGAAAAAUGACUAAAGAAGAAUUUGUGCACAUACUUCGGAGACAAAGCAAUGGAUUUUCUAGGGGAAGUUCCAAGUAUAGAGGGGUGACUCUUCACAAGUGCGGUCGCUGGGAAGCUCGAAUGGGGCAGUUGCUAGGAAAAAAGUACAUAUAUCUUGGGCUAUUCGACAGCGAAAUAGAAGCUGCAAGAGCUUAUGACAAGGCAGCUAUCAAAUGCAACGGGAGGGAGGCUGUGACCAAUUUCGACCUGAGUACAUACGAGGGAGAUCUUUAUACUGAGGUUGACAUUGAAGGUGUAGUCCACAACUGCGGGCAGUUUUUUAUUUCAGUCAUAGAUAGAGGAGAUUUUAGAGAUUCAAAUCAAAGAUCUGUUUAUGUAGCUUAUAUAAUCCCCUUCGGUGGUUUUGUCACCCUUUCAGGCCCUAACGUCGAUUUGAACUUAAGAAUUUCUCAACCUUCUAUGCCCAGUCCAAGAAGGGAUCAAAAUCAGCAAGAUUUUCUGUUCCAUGAUGCCUCACACGAUGUCGCUGAAAAGAACAAUCAUCCUCAUCUGGAACCAGCACACAUGCCCCCUGAGAAUUUCCCUUCUUCUACUUAUCAAAACCCUGCUUUCUGUUCCAUCAUCGAGGUAAGUUUUUCUUUGGUUGUCGUCAUCUCUCUCUCUCUCUCUUUCUGUCUCUAGAGAGCGCUCUCUCUCUGGAGAGGUCGACAUAAAAAACUGUAUUAUUAACUGCUCAAACUGUUUUAUGCACUUGCUUUUAUAUGUAUCGGCGCUCUCUUUCUCUCUCCGGUGGAUUCUUCCAUCACCGUCUACUUAAGUAGAAGAAAGACUUCUUUUCUUUUAGUGUAUUUGCUUUUAUAUUUGUAUGAUGUCUAGACUGUCAGUAUUCCACUUGAAUGUAGCUUUGACCUGCCAAAUUAUGUGUUUACCUUGAAUUGCAUCUAAGCUGGUUUUGGUCUCUUCAUUUGGAGAUUUGUCCUUCACACGAGGUUGCAUUCUUCACAAAAUGCAGGAAAGAAGAAGAGAAAAGAGGCCCAUGCAUCAUCAGGAUUCUUAACUGCCCCCACAGGAGCUGCCAUUCCGCCUCCAAAACAAUAUCCAUUCAAUACAUCCAACUGCCCUAAAUAAUCAUUAAAACAGAAGCUUAAGAUGAUUUUGUGGCGGGAGAUGCAAUCACAAAGAAUUUGAUGUAUGCAGGAUACUUACAUACGACUAAUCUAGGGCGGUGCUUGUUCUAAAAGUAAGGGAGAUGCAACCCUAACAGUUCAGGAAUAAGGCAUAAUAUCCUCUCUUUUUUUUUUUGUUCUCCCGAUAGCCCCAUUUUAUUUUAUAUAUAUAUAUAUAUAUAUAUAUAUAUAUAUAUAUAUAUAUAUAUAUAUAUCGUUAAAAAAGUGCACAAACAUACGAUCACAAUCAAAGAUCCUCUCAUGUGUCAUGUCUGUUAGAUCUGAGAGGUUAAUCAAAAUAUGAUGUCCAUGUGCUAAUUCUAAUGUCAUCUUUCUGUAUCGUGCUUUGAUCAUCUCAUCGGGAUAGUCUAAUGGUUAGUACAUGAGGAUGAUCUAAUGGUUAGUACAUGAGAUGUUAUCAUCAUGAGAUCUGGAGUUCAAAUCUCGAUAAAGUCGAGAUAAAUGUCUUCUUUAUGUGCUAGUCAUUAUUUUAAAGAUUAGUAGUUGUCCA